AAGUCGUAACAAGGUUUCCGUAGGUGAACCUGCGGAAGGAUCAUUAACACGUAUCCAACGUUAAACCCCCCUGUGAACCUUCAUUGUGCUCCCCCAUUCCGUUAGGACGCGGCAAUCCCUGGUAAAUCAUCGCCGAACAGUUUUGAUUCAGGGACCUCUGCAUGGACCCGGUCGCCGGCCGUGUCGGCCUCUAGCGAUCGUUACUGCGCCAUUCUUACAGAGCUAGUGACACUUUCAGACACCAACAAGCAGAGGAAUGCCAGGCCACUUGCCUCGCGCUGCAAGCCCACUCGUCACUGGGCUCACGCCCCCCUAUCACCUUUGCAUGAAAACGGGCCUGCGCUUAAUUGUGCGGCCACCAAACUCGAACAACUGUUAACAAUGGAUAUCUUGGUUCUC
rnacentral:misc_RNA from 1 species